rnacentral:rRNA from 1 species
GACGAACGCUGGCGGCGUGCUUAACACAUGCAAGUCGAACGCUGAAGCACCAGCUUGCUGGUGUGGAUGAGUGGCGAACGGGUGAGUAAUACGUGAGUAACCUGCCCUUGACUCUGGGAUAAGCCCGGGAAACUGGGUCUAAUACUGGAUGCUACAUGUCACCGCAUGGUGGUGUGUGGAAAGGGUUUACUGGUCUUGGAUGGGCUCACGGCCUAUCAGCUUGUUGGUGAGGUAAUGGCUCACCAAGGCGACGACGGGUAGCCGGCCUGAGAGGGUGACCGGCCACACUGGGACUGAGACACGGCCCAGACUCCUACGGGAGGCAGCAAUGGGGAAUAUUGCACAAUGGGCGAAAGCCUGAUGCAGCGACGCCGCGUGAGGGAUGACGGCCUUCGGGUUGUAAACCUCUUUCAGCAGGGAAGAAGCCACAAGUGACGGUACCUGCAGAAGAAGCGCCGGCUAACUACGUG